rnacentral:rRNA from 1 species
GAUGAACGCUGGCGGCGUGCCUAAUACAUGCAAGUCGAGCGAACGGACGAGAAGCUUGCUUCUCUGAUGUUAGCGGCGGACGGGUGAGUAACACGUGGAUAACCUACCUAUAAGACUGGGAUAACUUCGGGAAACCGGGGCUAAUACCGGAUAAUAUUUUGAACCGCAUGGUUCAAAAGUGAAAGACGGUCUUGCUGUCACUUAUAGAUGGAUCCGCGCUGCAUUAGCUAGUUGGUAAGGUAACGGCUUACCAAGGCAACGAUGCAUAGCCGACCUGAGAGGGUGAUCGGCCACACUGGAACGGAGCCGCGGUCCAGACUCCUACGGGAGGCAGCAGUAGGGAAUCUUCCGCAAUGGGCGAAAGCCUGACGGAGCAACGCCGCGUGAGUGAUGAAGGUCUUCGGAUCGUAAAACUCUGUUAUUAGGGAAGAACAUAUGUGUAAGUAACUGUGCACAUCUUGACGGUACCUAAUCAGAAAGCCACGGCUAACUACGUG